rnacentral:rRNA from 1 species
GGUUAAGCGACUAAGCGUACACGGUGGAUGCCCUGGCAGUCAGAGGCGAUGAAGGACGUGCUAAUCUGCGAUAAGCGUCGGUAAGGUGAUAUGAACCGUUAUAACCGGCGAUUUCCGAAUGGGGAAACCCAGUGUGUUUCGACACACUAUCAUUAACUGAAUCCAUAGGUUAAUGAGGCGAACCGGGGGAACUGAAACAUCUAAGUACCCCGAGGAAAAGAAAUCAACCGAGAUUCCCCCAGUAGCGGCGAGCGAACGGGGAGCAGCCCAGAGCCUGAAUCAGUGUGUGUGUUAGUGGAAGCGUCUGGAAAGGCGUGCGAUACAGGGUGACAGCCCCGUACACAAAAAUGCACAUGCUGUGAGCUCGAUGAGUAGGGCGGGACACGUGGUAUCCUGUCUGAAUAUGGGGGGACCAUCCUCCAAGGCUAAAUACUCCUGACUGACCGAUAGUGAACCAGUACCGUGAGGGAAAGGCGAAAAGAACCCCGGCGAGGGGAGUGAAAAAGAACCUGAAACCGUGUACGUACAAGCAGUGGGAGCACGCUUAGGCGUGUGACUGCGUACCUUUUGUAUAAUGGGUCAGCGACUUAUAUUCUGUAGCAAGGUUAACCGAAUAGGGGAGCCGAAGGGAAACCGAGUCUUAACUGGGCGUUAAGUUGCAGGGUAUAGACCCGAAACCCGGUGAUCUAGCCAUGGGCAGGUUGAAGGUUGGGUAACACUAACUGGAGGACCGAACCGACUAAUGUUGAAAAAUUAGCGGAUGACUUGUGGCUGGGGGUGAAAGGCCAAUCAAACCGGGAGAUAGCUGGUUCUCCCCGAAAGCUAUUUAGGUAGCGCCUCGUGAAUUCAUCUCCGGGGGUAGAGCACUGUUUCGGCAAGGGGGUCAUCCCGACUUACCAACCCGAUGCAAACUGCGAAUACCGGAGAAUGUUAUCACGGGAGACACACGGCGGGUGCUAACGUCCGUCGUGAAGAGGGAAACAACCCAGACCGCCAGCUAAGGUCCCAAAGUCAUGGUUAAGUGGGAAACGAUGUGGGAAGGCCCAGACAGCCAGGAUGUUGGCUUAGAAGCAGCCAUCAUUUAAAGAAAGCGUAAUAGCUCACUGGUCGAGUCGGCCUGCGCGGAAGAUGUAACGGGGCUAAACCAUGCACCGAAGCUGCGGCAGCGACGCUGAUGCGUUGUUGGGUAGGGGAGCGUUCUGUAAGCCUGCGAAGGUGUGCUGUGAGGCAUGCUGGAGGUAUCAGAAGUGCGAAUGCUGACAUAAGUAACGAUAAAGCGGGUGAAAAGCCCGCUCGCCGGAAGACCAAGGGUUCCUGUCCAACGUUAAUCGGGGCAGGGUGAGUCGACCCCUAAGGCGAGGCCGAAAGGCGUAGUCGAUGGGAAACAGGUUAAUAUUCCUGUACUUGGUGUUACUGCGAAGGGGGGACGGAGAAGGCUAUGUUGGCCGGGCGACGGUUGUCCCGGUUUAAGCGUGUAGGCUGGUUUUCCAGGCAAAUCCGGAAAAUCAAGGCUGAGGCGUGAUGACGAGGCACUACGGUGCUGAAGCAACAAAUGCCCUGCUUCCAGGAAAAGCCUCUAAGCAUCAGGUAACAUCAAAUCGUACCCCAAACCGACACAGGUGGUCAGGUAGAGAAUACCAAGGCGCUUGAGAGAACUCGGGUGAAGGAACUAGGCAAAAUGGUGCCGUAACUUCGGGAGAAGGCACGCUGAUAUGUAGGUGAGGUCCCUCGCGGAUGGAGCUGAAAUCAGUCGAAGAUACCAGCUGGCUGCAACUGUUUAUUAAAAACACAGCACUGUGCAAACACGAAAGUGGACGUAUACGGUGUGACGCCUGCCCGGUGCCGGAAGGUUAAUUGAUGGGGUUAGCGCAAGCGAAGCUCUUGAUCGAAGCCCCGGUAAACGGCGGCCGUAACUAUAACGGUCCUAAGGUAGCGAAAUUCCUUGUCGGGUAAGUUCCGACCUGCACGAAUGGCGUAAUGAUGGCCAGGCUGUCUCCACCCGAGACUCAGUGAAAUUGAACUCGCUGUGAAGAUGCAGUGUACCCGCGGCAAGACGGAAAGACCCCGUGAACCUUUACUAUAGCUUGACACUGAACAUUGAGCCUUGAUGUGUAGGAUAGGUGGGAGGCUUUGAAGUGUGGACGCCAGUCUGCAUGGAGCCGACCUUGAAAUACCACCCUUUAAUGUUUGAUGUUCUAACGUUGACCCGUAAUCCGGGUUGCGGACAGUGUCUGGUGGGUAGUUUGACUGGGGCGGUCUCCUCCUAAAGAGUAACGGAGGAGCACGAAGGUUGGCUAAUCCUGGUCGGACAUCAGGAGGUUAGUGCAAUGGCAUAAGCCAGCUUGACUGCGAGCGUGACGGCGCGAGCAGGUGCGAAAGCAGGUCAUAGUGAUCCGGUGGUUCUGAAUGGAAGGGCCAUCGCUCAACGGAUAAAAGGUACUCCGGGGAUAACAGGCUGAUACCGCCCAAGAGUUCAUAUCGACGGCGGUGUUUGGCACCUCGAUGUCGGCUCAUCACAUCCUGGGGCUGAAGUAGGUCCCAAGGGUAUGGCUGUUCGCCAUUUAAAGUGGUACGCGAGCUGGGUUUAGAACGUCGUGAGACAGUUCGGUCCCUAUCUGCCGUGGGCGCUGGAGAACUGAGGGGGGCUGCUCCUAGUACGAGAGGACCGGAGUGGACGCAUCACUGGUGUUCGGGUUGUCAUGCCAAUGGCACUGCCCGGUAGCUAAAUGCGGAAGAGAUAAGUGCUGAAAGCAUCUAAGCACGAAACUUGCCCCGAGAUGAGUUCUCCCUGACUCCUUGAGAGUCCUGAAGGAACGUUGAAGACGACGACGUUGAUAGGCCGGGUGUGUAAGCGCAGCGAUGCGUUGAGCUAACCGGUACUAAUGAACCGUGAGGCUUAACCUU